rnacentral:rRNA from 1 species
UGAAGAAAAAGCAUCGGCUAACUCCGUGCCAGCAGCCGCGGUAAUACGGAGGAUGCAAGCGUUAUCCGGAAUCAUUGGGCGUAAAGGGUCCGCAGGUGGCGAAUAAAGUCUGCUGUUAAAGACCGGGGCUAAACUCCGGAAAGGCAGUGGAAACUGAUUAGCUAGAGUACGGUAGGGGUAGAGGGAAUUCCCAGUGUAGCGGUGAAAUGCGUAGAUAUUGGGAAGAACACCGGUGGCGAAAGCGCUCUACUAGGCCGAAACUGACACUGAGGGACGAAAGCUAGGGUAGCGAAAGGGAUUAGAUACCCCUGUAGUCUUAGCGGUAAACGAUGGAAACUAGGUGUAGCUUGUAUCGACCCGAGCUGUGCCGAAGCUAACGCGAUAAGUAUCCCGCCUGGGGAGUACGCACGCAAGUGUGAAACUCAAAGGAAUUGACGGGGGCCCGCACAAGCGGUGGAGUAUGUGGUUUAAUUCGAUGCAACGCGAAGAACCUUACCAGGGCUUGACAUGUCGCGAAUCUAGCGGAAACGUUAGAGUGCCUUAGGGAAUGCGAACACAGGUGGUGCAUGGCUGUCGUCAGCUCGUGUCGUGAGAUGUUGGGUUAAGUCCCGCAACGAGCGCAACCCUCGUCCUUAGUUGCCAAUAUUAAGUUAGGCACUCUAGGGAGACUGCCGGGGACAACUCGGAGGAAGGUGGGGAUGACGUCAAGUCAGCAUGCCCCUUACGUCCUGGGCGACACACGUACUACAAUGGUUGGGACAAAGGGCAGCAAACUCGCGAGAGUAAGCGAAUCUCAUCAAACCCAGCCACAGUUCAGAUUGCAGGCUGCAACUCGCCUGCAUGAAGUAGGAAUCGCUAGUAAUCGCAGGUCAGCAUACUGCGGUGAAUUCGUUCCCGGGCCUUGUACACACCGCCCGUCACACCAUGGAAGCUGGCUACGCCCGAAGUCGUUACCCUAACCCGGUUUUGGGAGGGGGAUGCCGAAGGUAGAGCUAGUGACUGGGGUGAAGUCGUAACAAGGUAGCCGUACCGGAAGGUGUGGCUGGAUCACCUCCUUU